rnacentral:rRNA from 1 species
UACGUAGGGUGCAAGCGUUAUUCGGAAUUACUGGGCGUAAAGCGUGCGCAGGCGGUUUUGUAAGUCUGACGUGAAAUCCCCGGGCUUAACCUGGGAAUUGCGUUGGAGACUGCAAGGCUAGAAUCUGGCAGAGGGGGGUAGAAUUCCACGUGUAGCAGUGAAAUGCGUAGAGAUGUGGAGGAACACCGAUGGCGAAGGCAGCCCCCUGGGCCUGCACUGACGCUCAUGCACGAAAGCGUGGGGAGCAAACAGG